rnacentral:rRNA from 1 species
CCUACGGGCUGCAGCAGUGGGGAAUAUUGGACAAUGGGCGAAAGCCUGAUCCAGCCAUGCCGCGUGUGUGAAGAAGGCCUUCGGGUUGUAAAGCACUUUCAGUGGGGAAGAAAGCCUUGGGGCUAAUACCCUCGAGGAAGGACAUCACCCACAGAAGAAGCACCGGCUAACUCCGUGCCAGCAGCCGCGGUAAUACGGAGGGUGCGAGCGUUAAUCGGAAUUACUGGGCGUAAAGCGCGCGUAGGCGGUCUGAUAAGCCGGUUGUGAAAGCCCCGGGCUCAACCUGGGAACGGCAUCCGGAACUGUCAGGCUAGAGUGCAGGAGAGGAAGGUAGAGUUCCCGGUGUAGCGGUGAAAUGCGUAGAGAUCGGGAGGAAUACCAGUGGCGAAGGCGGCCUUCUGGACUGACACUGACGCUGAGGUGCGAAAGCGUGGGUAGCAAACAGGAUUAGAUACCCUUGUAGUC